rnacentral:rRNA from 1 species
UACGUAGGGGGCUAGCGUUGUCCGGAAUCAUUGGGCGUAAAGGGCGCGUAGGCGGCCCGGUAAGUCCGCUGUAAAAGUCAAAGGCUCAACCUUUGAAUGUCAGUGGAUACUGCCAGGCUAGAGUCCGGAAGAGGCGAGUGGAACUCCUGGUGUAGCGGUGGAAUGCGCAGAUAUCAGGAAGAACACCGACGGCGAAGGCAGCUCGCUGGGACGGUACUGACGCUGAGGCGCGAAAGCGUGGGGAGCGAACAGG